CCUGGUUGCAGGAGUCUGGAUAUUCUGCUUAUUCUCUCCUGAUUCUAGAAACCUCCAAUCAGGAUUUUGGGGAAAUUAUUGAAAGUUCCCCGGAAUUUUGCAACCCUAGAUGUCAACUUUAAAACGCCUUCUCCAGAACCGAUAGACUGAUCGGUACCAAAUGUGGUAUAUAGCACCUAUAGAUGCACAUCUUCAAACACACGUUUUAUAAGAGCUCAAACAAUAUGGCCGCAAUAAGCCAAUGAGCUUGCAUGAGUGGUUUUUCCUGUCCAACAGCGCCCCUCAUGCGGCCAAACUGAACAAUACUUUAGAUUAGCUAGACUCAUAUCCCUUAGCAUGUGUGCCAAAUUUCAUCACUCUGAGUCAAACAGAUUGAGAUGUAUAGCGCCACCGUGUGGCCGAUCUGAAUGUGCUUACAUAUGUUGAGUGUUGACCGUGUUUGGAAAGUUUGGUUACGAUACGAAUAUCCGUGUCUAAUUAGCAUUAAUGUGCCAGACAACCCCCACAUUAAUGUUUAUUGGUCAGUAGUGACCAUGGGGUUUGACAUAUAGUCUGCAAAAUAUUGCAUUGAGAGACCUUGGUCCAUAGAUGACACAUCAAUGUACAUCCAGAUCGGCCCAGUGGUUCCGGACGAGAUGUCAUUUAAGUGUUAUUCACAAAAUUCAAAAUGGCGGAAAAUCCAUCAUGACAGACCUUGGGGAAAAUGUGUUCCUUGUGAGAAGAGGGACCUAUGCACUGAAUUUCAGGACUCUAGGUCAUAUGGGGUGAGGGGCGUGACCCUUCCAAGUUAGCCAUUUCAAUCACCUGUUAUAGCACCACCUUGUGGCCAAUUGGAAUGGCUUGGCACCAGAGAGUGUAGACUAUGGGCCUUUACCAUGUUUCACCCUCUUCGGCCUUACCAUCUCACGGGAAUUUGAAUGUUAACUUUCUUCGCAAGAAGAAGCGGUAUAAUAAUAAUGAACGCCAACAAAUACAACAGGGUUUGCCCAGCUUCACUGGCUUGAACCCUUAAUAAAAGAUAAGAACAGCAACAUAGUAAAUGUCUCAGCAGAAUAGAAUAAACAUCUCUCCAAGAUCAGAUGUCUAACCACAUAGUGGGGUGUAGAACUCUGCUGUUUCAUCUAGCCUUUAAUAUGUGAUAAGAUUGGAGGAGAGAGGAAGGUGAGGAGGAUUAGCUGGCGACAGAGAGCUGUGGUUUCCUCCCUCCAUCUAUUAUGCAGAGAUGAAAAGUAAUUCUGAGUAUUUUUUCACUCUUACUGAGAUUAUAAAGACAGUCAAUUGACAGUCUUCCUCAUGGCGCUGACUGAAUAAGAGAUGGGAGGUGAAGAGUCUUCCUCAUGGCGCUGACUGAAUAAGAGAUGGGAGGUGAAGAGUCUUCCUCAUGGCGCUGACUGAAUAAGAGAUGGGAGGUGAAGAGUCUUCCUCAUGGCGCUGACUGAAUAAGAGAUGGGAGGUGAAGAGUCUUCCUCAUGGCGCUGACUGAAUAAGAGAUGGGAGGUGAAGAGUCUUCCUCAUGGCGCUGACUGAAUAAGAGAUGGGAGGUGAAGAGUCUUCCUCAUGGCGCUGACUGAAUAAGAGAUGGGAGGUGAAGAGUCUUCCUCAUGGCGCUGACUGAAUAAGAGAUGGGAGGUGGAGAGAAUUGAGGUUUUAACUUAUUUCCUGUAUGUUAAAAUACUGUGUAUUUAAGUAGACUAACUAGUGUAAUAAUGCCAUCAUCCAGGUUCCAGUUGAUGAUCAGGUCGAUAUGUUAAGUGACUCUUUCUAGAAUGACCAUGUCAUACUUGUUCCUUUCUCUAUGAUUGGGCUAGUGUUACAAUGUCUUCAUCACAGUUCUAGUAGAUGACAGUCUAGAUGGGGAAAGUCACUCUCUGACUCAAGUCACUAUUUCUAGUGAGACCAGUUCCUUUUAUGACUGGUCUCAGAAUCACCAACUUUUAAGCCUGGAGACAACUGAGACAUGGAUUGUGUGUUUGUGCCUUUCAGAGGGUGAAUGGGCAAGACAAAAUAUUUAAGUGCCUUUGAACAGGGUAUGGGAGUAGGUGUCAGGCGGUUUGGUUUGAGUGUGUCAAGAACUACAAUGGUGCAGGGGUUUUUCAUGCUCAACAGUUUUCAGUGUGUAUCAAGAAUGGUCCACCACUCAAAGGACAUCCAACCAACUUGAACUGUGGGAAGCAUUGGAGUCAACAUGGGCCAGCAUUCCUGUAGAACACUUUCCACACCUUGUAGAGUCUAUGCCCCAACGAUUGAGGCUGUUCUGAGGGCAAAAGGGGGUGAAACUCAAUAUUAGGAAGUUGUUCCUAAUGUUUUGUAAACUCAGUGUAGGGUGCCACCUGUCAACCAUUGACACAGCCAUCAGCACAACAACCUAACAAGAGAAGUUAAGAAGCUUGAUACUGUUCACUACGGAACUAUAGAACGAAAAUAGAAAGCUGAGAAGGUCUAGAAUGUUCUGAGAAUGUGAUCGCUUGUCGAUUAAAAUAAGAACUUGUUUGUUAACGUGACAUUUGGAAUCAACCUUAACCCAGUUCUGUUGUGUGAUCCAGCCAGCCUGACAGACUUCAGCCUGACAGAGAACAGUCAGACACAUUACUGUCUGACUGUUGCUACAUAGAACACCACCUUUAAACUGGGAUGGCUGCAAAGAAAACAUGUUGACUUACAGUUGAAGUCGGAAGUUUACAUACACAAUUCCUGACAUUUAACCCUAGUAAAAAUUCC
rnacentral:lncRNA from 1 species